rnacentral:rRNA from 1 species
GUGCCAGCCGCCGCGGUAAUACGAAGGGUGCAAGCGUUACUCGGAAUUACUGGGCGUAAAGCGUGCGUAGGUGGUUUGUUAAGUCUGAUGUGAAAGCCCUGGGCUCAACCUGGGAAUUGCAUUGGAUACUGGCAGUCUAGAGUGCGGUAGAGGGUAGCGGAAUUCCCGGUGUAGCAGUGAAAUGCGUAGAUAUCGGGAGGAACAUCCGUGGCGAAGGCGGCUACCUGGACCAGCACUGACACUGAGGCACGAAAGCGUGGGGAGCAAACAGGAUUAGAUACCCUAGUAGUCC